UACGAGUGGUCCUAGCGUUAGUCGGAAUCACUGGGCUUAAAGGGUGCGUAGGCGGGCUUGUAAGUGUCUUGUGAAAUCCCCGGGCUCAACCUGGGAAUUGCAGGGCAUACUGCGAGUCUAGAGGAAUCUAGAGGCCGGCAGAACGAUAGGUGGAGCGGUGGAAUGCGUAGAUAUCUAUCGGAAUGCCAAAGGUGAAGACAGCCGGCUGGGGAUUUCCUGACGCUGAGGCACGAAAGCGUGGGGAUCAAACAGG
rnacentral:rRNA from 1 species